rnacentral:rRNA from 1 species
UACGAAGGGGGGCUAGCGUUGUUCGGAGUUACUGGGCGUAAAGCGUGCGCAGGCGGUUUUGUAAGCCAGAUGUGAAAGCCCCGGGCUCAACCUGGGAACUGCAUUUGGGACUGGCAAGGCUGGAGUACGGCAGAGGGAGGUGGAAUUCCACGUGUAGCAGUGAAAUGCGUAGAGAUGUGGAGGAACACCGAUGGCGAAGGCAGCCUC